rnacentral:rRNA from 1 species
GACGUAGGAUGCAAGCGUUGUCCGGAUUUAUUGGGCGUAAAGAGUUCGUAGGUGGUUCGUUAAGUCUGGUGUAAAAGACUGGGGCUCAACCCUGGGAUCGCACUGGAUACUGGCGGACUGGAGUGUGGUAGAGGCAAGCGGAAUUCCCAGUGUAGCGGUGAAAUGCGUAGAUAUUGGGAAGAACACCGGUGGCGCAAGCGGCUUGCUGGGCCUUACCUGACGCUGAGGCGCGAAAGCUAGGGGAGCAAACAGG